UGCCAGCCGCCGCGGUAAUACGAAGGUCCCAAGCGUUGUUCGGAAUAACUGGGCGUAAAGCGUGUGUAGGCUGCGCGGAAAGUCAAAUGUGAAAGCCAAGGGCUCAACCCUUGAACUGCAUUCGAUACUCCCGUGCUAGAGUAAUGGAGAGGUAAGUGGAAUUCUCGGUGUAGCAGUGAAAUGCGUAGAUAUCGAGAGGAACAUCAAUGGCGAAGGCAACUUACUGGACAUUUACUGACGCUCAGACACGAAGGCUAGGGGAGCGAAAGGGAUUAGAUA
rnacentral:rRNA from 1 species